CAGCAGCCGCGGUAAAACAGAGGGUGCAAGCGUUAAUCGGAAUUACUGGGCGUAAAGCGCGCGUAGGUGGUUUGUUAAGUUGGAUGUGAAAGCCCCGGGCUCAACCUGGGAACUGCAUCCAAAACUGGCAAGCUAGAGUACGGUAGAGGGUGGUGGAAUUUCCUGUGUAGCGGUGAAAUGCGUAGAUAUAGGAAGGAACACCAGUGGCGAAGGCGACCACCUGGACUGAUACUGACACUGAGGUGCGAAAGCGUGGGGAGCAAACAGGAUUAGAUACCCCUGUAGUCCCUGUCUCUUAUAC
rnacentral:rRNA from 1 species